GCAGGCUGCAACCCGCCUGCAUGAAGUCGGAAUUGCUAGUAAUCGCGGAUCAGCAUGCCGCGGUGAAUACGUUCCCGGGCCUUGUACACACCGCCCGUCACACCAUGAGAGCCGGUAACACCCGAAGUCAGGAGCCUAACCGCAAGGGGGGCACUGCCGAAGGUGGGAUUGGUGAUUAGGGUGAAGUCGUAACAAGGUAAC
rnacentral:rRNA from 1 species